GCUGUAGAACAACAAAUCUGCAGCAAAAUACCACCACACACAGGAGGUAGAGAAUACUACAGAUUGGUCACACUAUCUGCCUCUGCAACCAGGUAGUCAGUGGAGCAAAAGCAAACCGAUGGUGCAUGGACUCCCAUUUCUGGGCCAAACAUGGAACAAAUUAUCUAGGUACGCAUGAAUAUGGAAGUACAAAAGAUAAUUCCGCUGAACUACUCUGACAGUUAAUGUUAGAUACUGCUAGUUCUUGAUAAUUACCAACAGCUUGCACGUUGUUUCCUGUUUUUAAUUACACAAAAUGACCAGACGCAACUUACUGACCUGCUACUGGUUAGUGGAGUACAUAGUUACCAAUUGCACUGCAACAAACACCAUCUAGAUAUGCUGCAACGGAUAUACAGUUAAACCACAUCAACGUACAAACAUCAUGGAUUUGGAUUGGGUGUGUUUGACGGUCACCCACAGCAGGAAAUUGUUUUGGAUUUAAAGCCAGAAGAACAUGUUGUUAUUCUCCUCACAUUCUUUUGAAGAGCAGUGCAUCAGGUUAAUGUUGUUCCUGUUCAUCAAGCACCUAGAACGAAUCUCACGUCCAACAAUACAAUGGAUAACCAAAGUUUCCUCUAAGGGAAUCUGUAAUGUUACCCUGAAGUGCUCAGUGGAAAAUGGUAGUGACUUGAUCUACGGCUGGUGGCGAGGAGAAGAGGUGGUCACAAAUGGCAUGUCACAGAGUGGUAGAAAACUUAAUGUGUUGGUAAUUCCACAGAAUGCCAGCACAGUUUACAGCUGCAUAGUGAAGAACCCUGUGAGUGAGGAGACAGAAAGUGUGGACCUCACAGUACUCUGUAGGCUACUCCAUUGAUUUUAUUUCAUAGCAGCUAAUAGAGAUGUUACUCUGAUUAUUAAUUAAAUUGCACAAAUGGUUGUCAAAUACAAGCUUAGU